rnacentral:tRNA from 1 species
CGCGGGGUGGAGCAGCUUGGUAGCUCGUCGGGCUCAUAACCCGAAGGUCGUUGGUUCAAAAUCCAGCCCCCGCAA